rnacentral:lncRNA from 1 species
CACACCUGAUGGAUCUGUGAGUAUGUCUUCUUUGUUAAAGUCACAUGGAGACACAAGCAAACACCCUGAGUGAUCCACCCCCAGCCAAGGGAACUUUGGUAAAUCCGUGGUUUGGGUCAUGCGGCUCUUGAUGGGGAGAAGGUGUUACUUAAUUUGGGAAUCGUUCUGAUCUCUGCUUUCUCUUCGUGUGCCUAUUGCUGCCAAACAAGCCACAAGCCAUGUUGAUGCUGGUGAAAGGCUUGCUGACCUCUCAGAGCCCGUUGUAGGGAGCAAGGGUGCAAGUGUGAUUGGAGGAGCCAGUGGGGAGGCCUGGAGUGUGGAGGGACGUUUUAAAGAAGACGCGACCUUGGACUGACCCUUGAGCUGGCCCCAGGCAAUCGGAGGCUCCUCAGUCCCUCCCCAACCUUGAACUGUACCUUCCGCCCUCCUUUCCCACAGUCCCAUUUUCAAGGACGCAGCCUGGAGAGAGAGCAACGAGGUGUUGAGACUUCUGGAUGGAACACCCGACUGAACUGGGUAAGGGCUCUGUAUGAACGUUAAGAUCUGCUGGGAGGGUGGAGACGCCUCCUGGACUGGCCCAAGCCAGUCCUCCUGUGUAAGUUUCCUUGCUUAUUAAAUCUGCCACCUACCUGCCUGGCUUUGGUUCUUCCUUGCCUUCAGUGUUUGGGGGGCCAGCUUCAGAUAUCCUCCGGGGAUCUCCUGAGUUUUUAAGCCAGCGCUCAGAAGCUGCGUUGUCAGGGGUCCCGUGCCUGUGGACCCGCAGACCGCCGAGCUGGCGGGAAAGGCAAACCCACGCCUGGAAUUGGAAUCCUCACCUGUGACGCUGCCUUUUUUUCCGGCCAUGCUGCACGACAUGUGGGAUCUUAGUUCCCUGAUCAAGGAUCAAACCCAUGUGCCGUCUGUAGACAGUGCUAAGUUUUAACCACUGGACCACGAGGGAAGUCCCGACACCUGUGAGGAUGGGCCACAGGCUCUCCCUUUGCAGCUUGCUGGGACACACAGAGGCAGCGGCAGCUGAUCCACCUUGGAAGACAGCAAUGAAGAGCAGUUUGUUCAUGACCUUGGAAAAACCAAGAGAGCUGUUUUUACCGUCACCAGUGCCUUCCCGCGUGAGCGUCCUUGGCAUACAGUCCCCUCACCUGGUGCAACCUUUCUGGUCACUGUCUUACUCUCAGAUGACUGCAUCUAAUCAAGGAUGAGCUGAAUUUGGCUUGGGAAGUAUUUGUUUGUAAAUGAGAGAUUCCUCAUAAAGUAAAUGCUUUCAGGAUCCAGGGAGUAAUUUAAUAGUGGUGUGUUUUGGCCACCUUGGCAUGAAGUGGGAGAAAUAUUUGGGAAAGAGAGGAGAGAGAGAGAGGUGGACUUACUUAAACUCAGUUAUGCUAUACUUAUAGGAGAUAAAAAUACAUGAAAAAUCAUAAGCGCAUGGUCUGUUUUGCUUUUGAACAGUGCAAAUACAUUUCCUCUCCCACCAAUCACACUUCUCUUAGCAGACAGCACUUGAGUGCCUUCAGAGGCACCCAAACAUGUCCAUGAAAGCACCACGAAGAGAGGAAAACCAAGUCAUUUUGGGGUUGUCAUUCCUAAAUCAAAACUGUUAUUGAAAAAUUUCCUUCUAGUGAGAGUCUAGGAGCAUUUCCCGCCUUGGUCGUGCCACAUGGCUUGCAGGGAUCUUAGUUCCCUGACCAGGGAUUGAACCCUUGCUUCCUGCAGUGGAAGCCCAGAGUCCUAACCGCUGGACCGCCGGGGAAGUCGCAAGAGCCUAGACAUUUUAAACAGGAAUCUCUUGGAUUAUUUAAUGAGAUGAUCUUGUUUUGGUUUUGUGUUUUAGGCUUUUUAUUGUAUGUUUUAUGAUGUUGUUAUUGUUUGUAUUAUUGCUUUGGAAAAUUCUGAAUAAUGGCUUGAUUAUUCUGGUAGGAAAUCAUCAUCAAAAGCAGCUUACCCUUCUUAGAAAUGUAUGUUUGUGUUUUGCUUUGAGAAGGAAUAUUUAAACUUUCCACAAGUUUGUGGAGAAGACAGAGUUUACUUGCAGCCACCCAAGGCACACUUCCACCUUUGUGACCGCCUCAGAGAGGAUUGAAAACUGUUUGAAUUCAUCUCUCAUGCAAACAAGAUGGGCAGAACUGGUGCCUCCCUCUUUGAAGAAUCUGCACUUUGAAAAAUGAUUGUUUUCUGACUAUAAAAAUAAUGCAGCUUAAUUUAUUAUGGAAACUGUGAAAAACAGAGAACAAUGUAUUAUACAAAGUAAAAAUCUCCUAUACCCCUACUACCUAGAAAGAGCCACUGUUAAUAUUUUGGUGUAUAUCUGAUGAGUAUUUUAAAAUUAUCUAAAUAUGUAUCUAUAAUUUAUAGAUAAUAAUAUGUGCUAUAGAUGUAAUUAUUAUAGAUAAUAUGUAUUAUAAUGUUCUCUAUCUAAAAUUGUAUAGAUAAGCAUAGACAAUCUCAUUAUUUGCUCUUUUCACUUGAUUAUUCAGAACACUACUAUUCUGUUCUAGCAUACUUUCCUGUGGUUGCAGAGAAUGUUAACCUGUGGAUGGAUAAACUUUGUUUAAGCAGUUGCUAUCAUUGUACAUUUGGUUGUUCUUAGUUUUUAUAAAUACUUUUGUAUGAACACAUUGCUGUUUAAUCUUUGAGAUGUCUUAGAAUGCAUUCCUAGAAGUGCAAGUGUUGCAUCAAAGGUAGUCAGGUGUUUGAAAAAAAUUUUUUACCAAAUUCCCCUGGGUUGGGAUACAGUUUUGAGGGCAUGAGCCUGCUGUGUCCCCUUUUGCCUGGCAAAGCAAUAAAGCUAUUCUUUUUGCUUCA